rnacentral:rRNA from 1 species
UGGGGAAUAUUGGACAAUGGGCGAAAGCCUGAUCCAGCCAUGCCGCGUGUGUGAAGAAGGUCUUCGGAUUGUAAAGCACUUUAAGUUGGGAGGAAGGGCAGUAAGUUAAUACCUUGCUGUUUUGACGUUACCGACAGAAUAAGCACCGGCUAACUCUGUGCCAGCAGCCGCGGUAAUACAGAGGGUGCAAGCGUUAAUCGGAAUUACUGGGCGUAAAGCGCGCGUAGGUGGUUUGUUAAGUUGGAUGUGAAAGCCCCGGGCUCAACCUGGGAACUGCAUCCAAAACUGGCAAGCUAGAGUACGGUAGAGGGUGGUGGAAUUUCCUGUGUAGCGGUGAAAUGCGUAGAUAUAGGAAGGAACACCAGUGGCGAAGGCGACCACCUGGACUGAUACUGACACUGAGGUGCGAAAGCGUGGGGAGCAAACAGGAUUAGAUACCCGCGUAGUCCCUGAGCGGGCUGGCAAGGCGCAU